GGAGGUAUAGCUCAGUGGUAGAGUGCUUUCCUAGCAUGCAUGAGGUCCUGGGUUCAAUUCCCAAUAUCACACA
rnacentral:tRNA from 1 species